rnacentral:rRNA from 1 species
AGAGCGAACGCUGGCGGCAUGCUUAACACAUGCAAGUCGCACGGGCAGGGGUAACUCUGUCAGUGGCGGACGGGUGAGUAACGCGUAGGUAUCUAUCCUUGGGUGGGGGACAACGGUUGGAAACGACUGCUAAUACCGCAUGAUAACUGAGGUUUAAAGGCGCAAGUCGCCUGGGGAGGAGCCUGCGUACGAUUAGCUUGUUGGUGGGGUAAAGGCCUACCAAGGCGACGAUCGUUAGCUGGUCUGAGAGGAUGAUCAGCCACAUUGGGACUGAGACACGGCCCAAACUCCUACGGGAGGCAGCAGUGGGAAUAUUGGACAAUGGGCGAAAGCCUGAUCCAGCAAUGCCGCGUGUGUGAAGAAGGUCUUCGGAUUGUAAAGCACUUUCGACGGGGACGAUGAUGACGGUACCCGUAGAAGAAGCCCCGGCUAACUUCGUGCCAGCAGCCGC